GACAGAGGGUGCUAGCGUUGUUCGGAAUUACUGGGCGUAAAGGGCGCGUAGGCGGCUCGUUUAGUCGGGUGUGAAAUCCCGGGGCUCAACCCCGGAACUGCAUUCGAUACUGGCGGGCUAGAGACCGGAAGAGGUGGGUGGAAUACCCAGUGUAGAGGUGAAAUUCGUAGAUAUGGGGAGGAACACCGGUGGCGAAGGCGGCCAUCUGGACGGAUACUGACGCUGAGACGCGAAAGCGUGGGUAGCAAACAGG
rnacentral:rRNA from 1 species